UCGCCUCCUCGGUCUUCCUAAAGUUUCCCCAUCCCACGGAGGGGCAGCAAGAGCCGCAGAACCGGGUCAAAGGCACCCCAAUCGAGAGGGAGCGCACUUCUCCGGGUCCACCGCGCUUCUGUACCCUUCCAGCAAGGAACUAACAUUUAUUAGGCACCAACUAUAUGCCAGCCCCUGAACAGGGCAAUGGGAGCUUGGAGAUGAAUCUGACAAAGUUCUGCCCUUCCAGAUUCAGGGAAGGUUCCAAGUCUAGCACGAAGAAUUCUUUUUCCUGAAGUCGCUGCCUGGAUGCUCCACAACUUCUGAGCACGUUGGGAUGUGUUUGCUUCCGACUGAGCUGUCCCCGCGCCAAACUGGACCAGGAGGACCGAAAUCAAGAAAUAGAGAUGGGUUCUUUCUGCCAUCAUGAAUGUGGCAGAAAGUUGUCAUGAUGCUACAGCAUUUCUCAAGCGUGGUUGUUUCAGGGGAAGAGACCCUGAGGCAGAGAGGAACAUGCAGGAGGUUGAUUAGAGACCACUCUUGGGAUCAACACCGUUGGAAGAGAAUGCAAUGGAAGGAAGCAAGAUUGGGCAGAAGGAGAAGCUGAUCUGUGAUGCAAGCCCCGUGGGGAGCUCUGAAAAUGGGUGAGAAGAUUGAGCAUUCACACCCCUAUACGGGUCUGUCAUGCAUGCCAGCCACCCUGGAAGAGAGGUGAGCCUGGGCGGGGCAGCUGAGGCGAUCCCCAAAGGGGGCUGCCUGCCAACAGCACCCCCACAGCUGGGCAAUGUCUUCCAUCCCUGAAGGAGGUCCCAGUGGUGCCAGGGAGCGCACAUCACAGUCCACCCCUUUACUGCUUGGAGCCCCCUCCCCACAUAAGGAGCAGCGUCUGUGGCAUUCAGGCAGACCUCUUUCCAGGGGAGACUUAGAAGGCAAUGUCCGCGGGUGAGCCACAGCCCUCACCCCUGCAGCGGCUCUUGGGGACAUGACUGGUGUUUACUGUCUUCUCAGUCAGCACUUCUGCUGGGCCAGUCUCGAUGUGACCCAGGCUCUCAUCCCUGGUCACCGUGUCCUUCUCAGGCUGAGGUCCUUCUGCCUUGUCUAUUUAUCACAAAAAAUGAGCAAGAGAAUACCAAGAGGUGCCCCAGUGGGUUACCUGGUAAUAAACGUGCACCCCCUGCCCCACUGUGGUACAGCGGCUCUAUCUCCUGAUGAUCAGGGACAACCGUCCCCACCAAGAUGGCGACGCCUCUUCUUGCCUGCUGGUCCCCGGACACAAGGAGCCCAAAGUGCCCAUGUGGCAGCUAUAGCUUAUGGUUCAGUGGGCCUCUUGCUGUGUCACCUGGUAGAAACUGUCCCCCGUUGGGAACCGCGGUCUCUAACCCUGCAGAGUUGAGUGGCAGAGUGGGGAGGACAAAGCAGGUCACUGAGAGUGACGGAAGCGGGGCUAUUCCUGCCUCCACUUCUUGGUUCCUGAAGUCCUGUCUGCUUCCUACUGGGAACCCAACUCCAUGGAGAGGUCGUUGAUUUACAGUAUAGAGUGCCUUCUGCAGGACGGCAUCCAGCUCCACGAAGUUAUCACCUCCAACCCAACUCUUGAGCUGUGCCUUCGGCAGGCCUGUCCAUCACUCCACCAUGUCAGCUGACAACUCUAGCGUGAGCGGUUUGUGACACGUCAGUGGAUCCCAUGGCCAUGGGGCCGCUCCUGCACCCCUUUGGUUGUAAAGUGGGUCCUUGGUCUGAUGUAACACUCUGUGGGAUCCCGCGCCGAUGGAUCCCUGUGUAAGCCGUGGUGUGUGGAAGCUGAGGCCAUGCAGGCAGAAAGGCAAACCCAUUCCCAGAAUGUGCCUAUUCUUGUCAAAAUGAAACGUGGCCUUUCAGGUUAGAAAGGGUCCAAAGUAGUCAACUUGUCACCGAGUGGCCAGCUGGUCCCCUUGGGGGAUGAUGCCUUAUUGGGGACCCGGUUUUGGUCUUAGUUGCUUGCAGGUUGGACUUUGGGCGAGGCAGUCACUGGAUCAGUGUUGGUAGCUGGGAGUCCACGCUGCUUGGCCCACACAUGGCUUCCGUCCCUGCCACCUUGGCUACUCUACUCACAUGCCCAGGGCACCAGCACUGGGGUGGCGGGUGUCAACUGACUGGGUCAUUUGGCCCACUCGUUGGUUUGCGGCCUCUUCUGUGUGGGUGCUCGCUGGUGGAUGUUAACAUGCAGUGCAAAGAUCCUCGCGCUUCGUGCCCACUUCCAUGUGUCCAUCCCCCUGCCUCCACCCGCUUGUCCCCAAUCUUCCAAACUUUCUCCUCCCGGGCCACUAAUCAGCCAGCCAAACCGCUCACUACUGCCCAUGAGCCCAUGUAUGUUCUAACUUAGGGCCAAUUCUCUCUCCACACAAAGAGGAUGACCAAAGAAUGGCCUUGGUGAUAGAUGAGAUGACCCAGCAGGAGGGUGUAGACAGAGAACAGGGUCCAGGACCAAUGCUCAGGAAGGUCCAGAUUUAAUGGCUGGGCAGAGGCAGAUGAGUGCACAAUGGAGACCAAGAAGCCUCUUCCAGAGAAGUAGGAGGAAACCAAAGAGAUGCGGCCUCCCGGAAGUGACAAGACGAAAAUAUUAUAAGGAGGAGGAUGUGGCCAUGUGCUGGAAGAGGGAUAACAGCAGAUAAAUGAAGAUAAUCUGGACAGCGUAAAUAUGCACUGACUUUUGUGACAAGGAAGGGCCCGAUGUUGACAAGUACAGUUUCAGGGGAGUGGUGGCACUGGGUGCCUGACUGAGAGGGCUGUCGGAGAGCAGAGGGGAAGAAUGGAGUCAGAGAGGGUAGGCAACUGUUUGAAGAAGUUUGGCUUAGAAGAAUAGGAGAUGGCAGGUAAUAGGGAGUGAUGGGGUCUAGGAAAAAGCCUUUUUUUUUAAUGGGAGAGGCUAGUGAGUGUCUGCGUUUGUGGCUGGGCAGGAGCCUCGCGCACACGCCAUUGCUGCACUCAGCCCACCUGUAGCCCACUGACCUCUCCCCGUCUCCAGUUGUGGCCUGUCUCAUCUUCCUGGGGAAUUUCUCUGGCACCACUGGAGAGCAGCUGCAGUCUAGGAGUGCUGGGGAAGCAAUGUCCAGGGCAACGCUCGGCCCACAGGGGAGGAGUCCGUUGAUAAACGGUCAGCCUCUUCUCUGUGGGACGAUCCUUGGGCGUGUUCCACACGGUUCCUCAGGCCGUCACCCACAAGAAGGAGCCCCACUUACCCCCAGCAGUAACCCACUUAUUAAAACUCUCCUUCCCGACCAUUCUCCCUCCCUGCCGGUUUCCUGAGAUAACUACUUUCCCCCAAAUCUUUGUUUUAGGGUCUGCUUUUGGGGGAACUUAAGCCAACACAAGCCCGAUGGAGAGGACGAGGUUGAAAGUAAAGAAGAGAGAGGAUGCAAAAGAAGGAGCAGAUCCCCAGGGGGUCUAGGGGGUGGGUUUGGAGUAUGGAGGGAGGGGUGGCCUCGGGAGGGAGGAGGGAGGGACGUCACAUGUGGACAGAUGCAGACACAUGUGAUGUCUGGUGGCUGGUGGGCGAGGGAGUUCUUUCUGACGGCGUCCAGCUUCUCCGUAAAGCAGGAGUUGAGAUGAUUAGCUAAGAGUGGGAGAUGAGCAACUUGAGGAGAGUGGAGAAGGUCGUCCUGUGGAGAAGGAGAGAGCAGCUUAGGAAAACGGGGAGCCAUUCUCAAAGAGUCUGAAGACGCGGGGAAUCGUAAAUUUGUGGUAGAACCGUCUACGCCAUUGUGAGAUGGCCUCCGUCAACCCUUGGCAUCUCUGUGAAGGCAACAAAGAGGCGGGCAGCUGGAUUCUGCGGUUUUGCCAGGCAGGCAGCUGAAAGCACAGUGGGCAAGGGCAGGAAGGGCUGGACUAGGCACCUCUUGUGGGGUCUGCCCAAUUCAUGACCUUUCAUCUCUAAAAACCAUGCCCUCAGCCUCCACAGGGCUUAUUUCUGGCAGGACUCUGCCCCCACGGCCAGGCAUGGCCCUCUGACCCAAGUUUAGCCAAUCUCUUUCAUAGGGAGAUUCUCAUUCUCCAUCUCAACCCAUGUUACUAUGCACCAGGCCCUGGGGAAAUAACAGCGAAUGGGAGAGACAGGGUUCCUGUCCUCGUGAGGCUUACAGCCUAAGGGGGGAGAUGGACAUUCAGCAACUAAACAAAGAAACAAAACAAUUAGGGAUGUGAGAAGGGGGUGGAAGAAAUAAAGUGGCCACCGUGGAGGCAAAUGAUGCUGAAGGAUGCCUGCCUUCGAUGGAGUGGCCAAGGCCAUACUCUCCAAGACGAGAGUAAGCUGAGACCUGAAGGGUGAGAGGGACCCAGCCAUGCAAAGAACUUGGAUAGAGGUAUCCAAGCGAAAGGACAAGUGAAUUCAGAGGCUCAGAGGUGAAAAGGAGCUUAGUGUGUCCUCCUAGGAAGGGUCAGACGACCGUGGAUGCUGGAGGGUGGUGGGUGAGGGGGAGACAACAAGAGAUGGAGUUGGAGAAAGGGCAGAUGUUGGAUCACAUAUGACUCUCAAAGUUUUGCUGAAGACCUUGGAUUUUAUUCCAACUACAACGAGAAGCCAAGAGUGACUUGAUCCAAUUAUUUGGGCAAUAUCUUCUUUUUAUAUAAUUCCAAACUUAAAGAAAAAUUGCAAGACUAGAACAAAAAAUUCCCGUGUACCCAUUACUCAUAUUCACCAAUCAUUUACAUUCUCCUUAUUGGCUGUAGUCACAGAGUUGGUGUGAACACUGAAUCAUUGCUCUUAGGGGAAAUACAGGGUUGGGUUCCUGCCAGCCUCUGGUCACCACGUUCUCAUCAACUGAUCAACACACAACCUUGUUUUACGUGUGUUUCUGUUUAAAGACACCUUACUAAGAUAUAUUGUCGAUUCAUUAACAUGGAACCCAUGGCCAACAGCGCUGUGGCUCACGCCUGAAGGAAGCUCAUCGAACACAUGUGUUUUCUCCAUGAGGCACGUCAUGGCCUUCUCACACUUAACAAACACUGGAUAGCGCUUCAGCACUAGGCCUGGGGGCCAUUUUAAACGGUGAAAUCCCAAAAAAAAAGCACAAAAAUACAAAAAACGUGGCACUAAAUAGACCGCCAAAAGGACACUUAUUUACAGCACGAGAAUGGAAACAAGAAGCUGGAGCAUCAGCUUCUGACUUUGGCUGGGACCAUGUCCUCUGAUGACUCAAAAUUUUUACCUCUCUGCACAUGCACAUGUCCCUGAAUGGCCACAAAAAGGCCCCAAGUAUUGAUUUCGGGGUUACAAAUAAAUUUUAGCUAGAGAAGAAUUCGCAAAUAUGGAAUUCAUGAAUAAUGAGGAUCAAUUGUUUAUACAUAUAUAUAUAUACGUAAAUAUUAUUUUUGAACCAUUUGGGAGUAUGUUGGAAACAUCAUGUCUCUGUACCCCCGAAUACUUCAACGUGUGUUUUCAAAAUGGUCAUUCUCUUACAUGAGCACCGUGCAGUUCUCGAAUUCAAGAAACUUACCAGUGAUACAAUACUAUUUUGUAAUAGCUGUUUUUUCCCUGGUCCAGCAGCCAACUCAGGAUCACACAUUGCAUUUGGUUGUCAUGGCUUGUAGUUUCUCAGUCUUUCUUUGUCUUUGAUGAUCUCACUUUGUAGAAUGUCCUUCAAUUUGGGUUUUCUGAUGUUUCCUCAUGAUUAGAUUCAAGUUAUGCAUUUUUGGCAAGAAUAUCCAGAAGCGAUGUGCUUCCAGGUGCAUCAUAUCAAGAAGCCCGUGACGCUGUUUGUCCCAACAUUGGGGGUGUUAGGUUUGAUGACUUGGUUAAAGUGGUGUCUGCCACGUUUGACAUGCCAAGGGCCGUGUAAGCUGGCAGCCCUCAUUCGACGUUCCGGAGCAGGUGGCACGAGGGGGUCUACAGAGAGAAGAGAGCGGCUCUGCAGGGAACGAGAAGGAGGAGAGCGGGGGACUCGGACUGAGCGUGGAGAACAGCCACUUGCAUUGCGGUCUCUCCAGUUUCCGAUUUCAAACUCUGGGUCAGCGUGGCAGUCCUUCCUGCCUGUGGGUUCCAUACGACAUCUGUAAAAUGGGAUGGGAUGGUACCCACCUCCAAGGGUGACUGAAGAUGAGGAACAGCCCAUGUGGGUGCUCAAUAAAUGCUGGCUCUUACUCAGCCACCAUUGUUUUACUUUUAAGUUCUUCCAAUAAAUUCCCUAUUUUGAUUUGUUUUAUAUUUCCCGUAAUUAAAGGGGUCUUGACUAAGACGAGAACAUUCACCAAGGGGUAGUUGAGGUGAUGGACCACGAGCUGCAAGCUGGAGAAAGAGGACUGAAGACCAGAGCAGGGUGGUCUGGGUUAGGUUGAAAGGGUUUCAAAGGAGUCUAAGGAAACAAGGCACUGGAAGCAGCAAGGACAAGCUAGAGCUGGUUUCUCAGUCUUGGCUCUCUUGACGUCUGCAGCCAAACAAUUCUUUGUCGUGGGGGCUGUCACCUGGUCCCCAGGCAUGACAACCAAAAAUGUCUCCAGACAUUGCCCGAUGCCCUCUGGGGGCAGUCUCACUCUCGUUGGAGAACCCCUGGCCUGGAGAGUGGGUUGUCUGAGUUAUGGCAUACAUUUUUUGGAGGUAGAGCAGUUCCCGGUGGCAGUAAGAUCCAGGGCGUGGACGUGGGAAUGGGUGGCUGGCUUGGAGAGAGGAAGAGCGCCCAGGAGAUAAAAAGUUCAAAGGACCAGGAAGUCGCCCAGCCCCGGCAAGAGGGUGGAGUCAGAUAACCUGAAAACUCCUCUGCUACGAGCAUCUGGAAAUGCUGGGUGAAAUAUAACAAAACUCUUUUCUAAUGUAUAGCCGGGUUGUGGUUUUUGAAUUAGCUACAGUUUUGUUGGGGUUUUUUGGGUAUACACUUCCAUGAAAUUCACCAGAUGCAUAGAUUGGGGUCACCACCACCACGUGGGGAUAUAGAUCAGUCCCGUCCCCCCGCCAAAUUCCCUCACGCCACCUCUUCGUUGUCACCCAGUCCCCUAACCCCUGGCAAUCACUGCUCUGUUCUCCAUUCUUUCCUAGAACGUCAUAUAAAUGAAUUCUUCAGUAAGUAACCUUGUGAGACUGGCUUCCUUCACUUAGCAUGGUGCUUUUGAGAGUCUUUCCCGUGGUUGCUGUAUGAAUAGUCGUUCUCUUUAUGUUGGCUGAGCACUUCUCCAAGUACGUUCCAUUGUAUGGAUGCGCUUCUGUUUGUCUAUCCGUUCUCCCGCUGAAGGACAUCGUUGAAGGACAUUUUGGUUGUUCCCAGCUUUCCACUACUAUGAGUAAUGCUGCUAUAAACAUUCACGUCCAGGUUUUAGUGCGAAUGUAAGUUUUCAUUUCCCCUUAAAGAAAUAACUAGGAGUGGGUCUGCUGGGUGAAAUGCUAUAUGUUGAAUUUUAUAGGAAACUGCCAAACCGUUUUCCAGAUUCUGUACCAUUUGGCAGCCCAGCAAUGCGUGAGAGA